CCAUCGGAUAACCCGUCGAAAGGCGGCCUAACACGAUAAUGCGGUUUCACAGCAGGCAUCUAACGUGAACGAAAUGUGAAGGAGAAGGAUGGGGGAUGCGUCUGAUUAGCUUGUUGGCGGGGGUAACGGCCCACCAAGGCGACGAUCAGUAGGGGUUCUGAGAGGAAGGUCCCCCACAUUGGAACUGAGACACGGUCCAAACUCCUACGGGAGGCAGCAGUGAGGAAUAUUGGUCAAUGGGCGAGAGCCUGAACCAGCCAAGUAGCGUGCAGGAAGACGGCCCUAUGGGUUGUAAACUGCUUUUAUAUGGGGAUAAAGUGAGUUACGUGUAUCUUAUUGCAGGUACCAUAUGAAUAAGGACCGGCUAAUUCCGUG
rnacentral:rRNA from 1 species